rnacentral:rRNA from 1 species
ACGUAGGGUCCGAGCGUUGUCCGGAUUUACUGGGCGUAAAGAGCGCGUAGGCGGUCCGUUAAGUGUGAAGUGAAAUCUCCAGAGCUCAACUCGGAAACUGCUUCGCAUACUGGCGGACUUGAGGAAUGCAGAGGUGAAUAGAAUUCCUGGUGUAGCGGUGAAAUGCGUAGAUAUCAGGAGGAAUACCCAUGGCGAAGGCAGUUCACUGGGCAUUAUCUGACGCUGAGGCGCGAAAGCGUGGGGAGCAAACAGGAUUAGAUACCCUGGUAGUCCACGCCCUAAACGAUGGAUGCUAGGCGUAAGAGGUAUCGACCCCUCUUGUGCCGCAGCUAACGCAUUAAGCAUCCCGCCUGGGGAGUACGGCCGCAAGGUUG